AUUGAACGCUGGCGGCGGGCCUAACACAUGCAAGUCGAACGAGUGGCGGACGGGUGAGUAAUGUCUGGGAAACUGCCUGUUGGAGGGGGAUAACUACUGGAAACGGUAGCUAAUACCGCAUCCUAUGAGAUUGGCCCAGAUGGGAUUGGCUUGUUGGUGGGGUAACGGGUCACCAAGGCGACUGUCCGUAGCUGGUCUGAGAGGAUGACCGGCCAACCUGGGACUGAGGCACGGCCCAGACUCCUACGGGCGGCAGCAGGGGGGAAUAUUGCACAAUGGGCGAAAGCCUGAUGCAGCCAUGCCGCGUGUAUGAAGAAGGCAUUCGGGUUGUAAAGUACUUUAGGCGGGGAGGCGGUAUCCGCAGAAGAAGCACCGGCUAACGACGUGCCAGCCGCCGCGGUAAUUC
rnacentral:rRNA from 1 species